UACGGAGGGUGCAAGCGUUGUCCGGAUUUAUUGGGUUUAAAGGGUGCGUAGGCGGCUAAUUAAGUCAGCGGUGAAAUUCUACAGCUUAACUGUUAGAACUGCCAUUGAUACUGGUUGGCUUGAGUACAGAUGAGGUAGGCGGAAUUGACAGUGUAGCGGUGAAAUGCUUAGAUAUUGUCAAGAACACCUAUUGCGAAGGCAGCUUACUAAACUGUAACUGACGCUGAGGCACGAAAGCGUGGGGAUCAAACAGGAUUAGAUACCCUGGUAGUCCACGCCGUAAACGAUGAUUACUCGAUGUGUGCGAUAGACAGUACGCGUCCAAGCGAAAGCGUUAAGUAAUCCACCUGGGGAGUACGCCCGCAAGAGUGAA
rnacentral:rRNA from 1 species